UUCUGUCGAGAUGAGCUCCCAUAGCAUAAAUCGACAAACAGUGUGUCUGCUUUAAAGACAGCAUGUACAUGCAAAUCAUUACUUUUUUAAGUGAAAAGACACUUAUUGCUGUAUUUUUAUGUAAAGACAAAAUUUACGUGGGUUUUCUUUGGUG